rnacentral:rRNA from 1 species
GACGAACGCUGGCGGCGUGCCUAAUACAUGAAAGUAGGACGCAGUUGCGAACGGGUGAGUAACGCGUAGGUAACUGCCUAUUAGAGGGGGAUAACUAUUGGAAACGAUAGCUAAUACCGCAUACUAGUAGAUGGACCUGCGUUGUAUUAGCUAGUAGGUAGGGUAAUGGACUACCUAGGCAACGAUACAUAGCCGACCUGAGAGGGGGAGCGGCCACCAUGGGACUGAGACAAGGCCCAGACUCCCACGGGAGGCAGCAGUAGGGAAUCUUCGGCAAUUGGGGGAACCCUGACCGAGCAACGCCGCGUGAGUGAAGAAGGUUUUCGGAUCGUAAAGCUCUUUUGUUAAGGAAGCGGUACUUAACCAGAAAGGGACGGCUAACUACGUGCCAGCAGCCGCGGUAAUUC